UACGGAGGGUGCAAGCGUUAUCCAGAUUCACUGGGUUUAAAGGGUGCGUAGGUGGCCCUAUAAGUCAGCGGUGAAAGUCUGCAGCUUAACUGUAGAACUGCCAUUGAUACUGUAAGGCUUGAGUACUGAUGAGGUAGGCGGAAUUGAUAGUGUAGCGGUGAAAUGCAUAGAUAUUAUCAAGAACACCGAUUGCGAAGGCAGCUUACUAAGGAGUUACUGACACUGAGGCACGAAGGCGUGGGGAUCAAACAGG
rnacentral:rRNA from 1 species